UACGUAGGUGGCAAGCGUUGUCCGGAAUUAUUGGGCGUAAAGCGCGCGCAGGCGGCUUCUUAAGUCUGAUGUGAAAUCUCGGGGCUCAACCCCGAGCGGCCAUUGGAAACUGGGAAGCUUGAGUACAGAAGAGGAGAGUGGAAUUCCACGUGUAGCGGUGAAAUGGCGUAGAUAUGUGGAGGAACACCAGUGGCGAAGGCGACUCUCUGGUCUGUAACUGACGCUGAGGCGCGAAAGCGUGGGGAGCAAACAGG
rnacentral:rRNA from 1 species